rnacentral:rRNA from 1 species
AUUGAACGCUGGCGGCAGGCCUAACACAUGCAAGUCGAACGGUAGCACAAAGGAGCUUGCUCCUUGGGUGACGAGUGGCGGACGGGUGAGUAAUGUCUGGGAAACUGCCUGAUGGAGGGGGAUAACUACUGGAAACGGUAGCUAAUGCCGCAUAACGUCGCAAGACCAAAGAGGGGGACCUUCGGGCCUCUUGCCAUCAGAUGUGCCCAGAUGGGAUUAGCUAGUAGGUGGGGUAAUGGCUCACCUAGGCGACGAUCCCUAGCUGGUCUGAGAGGAUGACCAGCCACACUGGAACUGAGACACGGUCCAGACUCCUACGGGAGGCAGCAGUGGGGAAUAUUGCACAAUGGGCGCAAGCCUGAUGCAGCCAUGCCGCGUGUAUGAAGAAGGCCUUCGGGUUGUAAAGUACUUUCAGCGGGGAGGAAGGUGAUACGGUUAAUAACCGUGUCAAUUGGCGUUACCCGCAGAAGAAGCACCGGCUAACUCCGUGCCAGCCGCCGCCGUAA